AGCCAAUCAAAAAACUAAUUCUUCCAACGAGAGAUUGUUAUUAUUCCUCAAGAUGACCAGACAGCUUCUGCUUUCUUUUUCCUUUCUUCCAGAUGGAGAUUCAACCAUAAUAGAAAGAAUGGAGAACUAUUAACCGCCUUUCUUCAGUGAGCUGUGAUUUUCAGAGGGGAAUACUAAGAAGUAAUUUUCCAUGUUAAGACUCAAAGGUAAAGACACUGAGGACAGACCUUUUUGGCAGAGCACAGAUGAAAAUGGCAAGUUCCCUGGCGUUUCUUCUGCUCAACUUUCGUGUUUGCCUCCUCUUGGUCCAGCUGCUUACUCCUUGCUCAGCUCAGUUUGCUGUGCUUGGACCCCAUGGGCCCAUCCUGGCCAUGGUAGGUGAAGACGUUGAUCUGCCCUGUCACCUGUUCCCGACCAUGAGUGCAGAGACUAUGGAGCUGAGGUGGGUGAGUUCCAGCCUAAGGCAGGUGGUGAACGUGUAUGCAGAUGGAAAGGAAGUGGAAGACAGGCAGAGUGCACCGUAUCGUGGGAGAACUUCGAUUCUACGGGAUGGCAUCACUGCAGGGAAGGCUGCUCUCCGAAUACACAACAUCACAGCCUCUGACAGUGGAAAGUACUUGUGUUAUUUCCAAGAUGGUCUCUGACAGUGGAAAGUACUUGUCAUUGGGUUCUGAUCUUUCUACAUUGAAGUGAAGGGUUAUGAGGAUGGAGGGAUCCAUCUGGAGGUAGGUCCACCGUCAUUGGUACCUCCACAACCUCAAAUACAGUGGAGUAACACCAAGGACAGUACAUCCCGGCUGUGAAAGCACUCAGGUUGCAGAUGGAGUGGGCCUGCAUGCAGAGUGCAUCCGUGAUCAUGAGAGGCAGCCUGGGAGGGUGUAUCCUGCAUCAUCAGAAAUUCCUCCUUGGCCUGGGAAAAGACAGCCAGCAUCAUCACAAGUGAUACCCUUCUUCAGGACGCCCAGCCCUGGAUCGCAGCCCUGGCAGGACCUCUGCCUAUCCGCUCGCUGCUUCGCAGGAGCCGCCAUCUGUGGAGACAACAGAAGGAAAAUUGCUCUGUCCAGGAGACAAGGAAAGAGAGCGAGAGAUGAAAGAACGGAUAUGCUGCAACAAAGCAGGAAAUAAGCCUUCAAGAGUGGAGAAAAAUCCAGUACAUGGCUCGGGGAGAGAAGUCUUUGGCCUAUCAUGAAUGCAAAAUGGCCCUCUUCAAGCCUGGUGAAUGUCAUUCUGAUCCAGACACGGCAAAUGCCAUCCUCCUUGUUUCUGAGGACCAGAGGAGUGUGUGCAGCGUGCCAAGAGUCAUGUGGAUCUGCCAGACAACCCUGAGAGAUUUGAAUGGCGUUACUGUGUGCUUGGCCAUGAAAACUUCACAUCAGGGAGACAUUUCUGUGGAAGUGAAGUGGGGGACAGAAAAGAAGUGGCAUAUUGGGGUGUGUAGUAAAAACGUGAGAGAAAAAGGUUGGCCAAAUGACACCAGAGAAUGGAUACUGACCAUGGGGCUGACUGAUGGGAUCAAGUAUCGGGCCUCACUGAUCCCAGAACAAACCUGGAAACUUCCUGAGCCCCCUAGGAAAGCGGGGAUCUUCCUGACUAUGAGACUGAGAGAUCUCAUUCUACAAAUGCCACGGAUGGAUCUCAUAUCUACAAUUUUCCGCACACCUCUUCUGGAGCCUCUGUAUCUGUAUUCAGAAUUUUGACCUUGGAGCCCACUGCCCUGACCAUUUGCCCAACACCAAAACAAGUAGAGAGUUCCCCCGAUCCUGACCUAGUCCCUGAUCAUUCCCUGGAGACACCAGUGGCCCCAGAUUUAGCUAAUUGAAAGUGGGAGCCUCAGGCUGAAGCAACAUCUCUGCUUCUGCCUGCCUAA